rnacentral:lncRNA from 1 species
CCACAUAUUAAAAAAUCACAAACCUUUUUUUAUUAAAGCAUUUAUCUAUAUUAUAAUUUAAAAUUGUCCAACCUAAGAAAAAUGCACCAAAAAACUUGGCAUAUAGCAAUUUUCGAUUUGGAAUGCCACAAAACAGAGCAAAAUUCUUUUUUAUCGGCUGUAUAAUAACAAUCUUUGUAAAAAAUUGCAUAAUGCAGAUCAUUACCUCUAUAGCCACAGAAAGGUGGUCCCACCUUAUAGUUUGUCACCUUGUAACUUCGUCUACAAUAACUCAAAAAGUAUAUGAACUAAAGGUGUUAACAAAUGAUCUUGUCAGUUUUGUAGAUAAAGUCAUCAAGUAUUCUACUCUCAAGACUUAAAUUUACUCGAAUAAAUUUACUUUUGUACAGUAUUAUUUUUUAAACAAAGUAUGUGAUUGCAAUUUAUUUUCUUUAACAUAAUUUAUAUGUACUAAGUCGACAGAGAAAAUUGAACAAUUUCUACAAUCUGGAUGUACUUCUCGUUCUUCGGUCAUCGUUUUUGUUUGUACAGUAUAUUACUGCAGAUGUUGAAAAAGAACAUAAACCAUCAGAAAAUGUAUUUUCAAUUUUGGCAGGACAAUAAAGAUAAGUUUUCUUAAGUCUCUUCACAUCAAAUUUCAUAUUCUCAUAUCUUAUUGGGUCAUAAAAUUGUAUCUAUGCGAUUAUACUAAAUAUAAAAACAUGCAUAUAUCAAACUGUACAUAUCAGAAAACACUUUGCAGGGCAUAAGAGCUGACCUUGCAACUAAAAAACUAAAAUCGUCACUCUUCCAAAGUAUAUAACACAAAAAGCAACUUGAAAUCUCGUAACCUAAGUAGGUUAUGAGAUUUAGUCGACUAUCAGAAACCAAUCCGUGUUUGCUGGAUAUCAUAAUGAAGUAAAAAAAAAAUCAUAUUUUCAAUUAUCACAAUUAUAAGCAGAUUGGGCAACCAUAGCUUUUGUAACUUCAUCAAAACAGUGAGCAUUAAAAUAUUUAGGCUUACGGAUACAAUUGAACCGACUAUUCUCAACAUUAAACCAAUCAAUUGGUAUAAAAAAUACUCCCCAGAUAAUAGUUCAACAAAAGCCCCAACUUAACAAAAUUGCAUAUUGUUUGUUGGUGAAAAUAUCCAAGAAUCAUCACAGACUCAAAUUUAAUAUCGAUAUUGGCUUAGCUUGGGUGAAAUCUUCAACCCAUAAGAUAAGUUUUUGAUUUCUUACUAACAACCAUUAUAUUAAUAAUAUUCCAAAACUAAAUAGAGAUUAGAGAGGGAAUUACGAUCUGUAUUUUUAGAGAUUAAAGACCUUACCUGUGCAUGAGCAUGUAUUUCUGGUUGACUGAUAUCCGUUCCAAUAUAGGAAAUAGCAUAAUUUUGAGGAUAAUGAUCCGAGUAAAUAGCUAAUGAAAGAAAAACAUAUUCAAUUUUGCGGAUAAUCAUGUGAAAUCAAACACAUGCAGGUUGUAACAAUAACAUAAAUAUACAAAAUAGAAAAAAAUAAAAAAAAAAAAGGUCAAAAUACAACUUACAGAAUAUUGCAUGGACAAACAAUGAACAAAAAUUGAACUUACAGUUUACAUCCAUUAACACAAUUUGUAGUUAUCACAAUUCCAAAACCUACUACUGAAACAAUUUCUUACCAGUGGUAGACUCGUCUCUCUCUAAUUUGCUUUUAAUAUGAAACCAUAGAUUGUCAAAAGAGAUUCCAAAACUAAAAUCAAUAUAAAAAUGAGAACCAGCAAAUCUAGGCAAUCAAAAUCAGAACGCGUAAAUUUAGGAAAUAAAAAUUGACCUUCAAUAUAUCAAAGGGAGAGUUGUAAAUUGGAAAAAAAGUUGAUGCAUUUACCUUAUAAUUGUGUGGUGUUCCAAUCCUCAACAAAACCUAGAUGGUUGGACGAAGAUGUAGGUAUAGAUUUAAAUUUGGAUUAAUGGCUUAACUAAGAGACAAGGUUUGCAGAGAGCGAAAUGAAGAACUGAAAAUAAGGAGCAGUCAUACCAUCCAAAGAAAGCCAGGGAAGAUAAGAGCGUCAGAGUGAAGGUCCGAAAUGGAUUAUCAGUUAUCAAAACCUAAAUUAGAAUAUGGGGAGCAAACAGUUCAUAGAAAACCGGUGGUAUGGAGUUAGGGCAUCAAUAUGAAACAACGAUUAUGCUUCUUAUCUGCAAAGAAACCCAUCAAUUGAUCAAUUAUAGAGGAGCGGUGGCGAAACGGGCAAAUGUUGAUAUAUUGGGUUGUUAGGUAGAGAGAGGUGAUGGAGGUAGUGUAUUGAGAAAGUAAGGAAGCAUUAGAGGAAAGGAAUCAUUGGAGGAGGUGAAUGGAAGCGUGGAGAUGAAGAGAUUACUUUUCAAACGGUGGCACAUUGUCCCAUUUAGUGGAAUUUAGUGGAACCAUG